AGAGUUUGAUCAUGGCUCAGGAUGAACGCUAGCUACAGGCUUAACACAUGCAAGUCGAGGGGCAGCAUUGGAGUAGCAAUACUCAGAUGGCGACCGGCGCACGGGUGAGUAACACGUAUCCAACCUGCCGCUUACUCGGGGAUAGCCAUUCGAAAGAAAGAUUAAUACCCGAUGGUAUAAAGAGUUCGCAUGUUCUCUUUAUUAAAGAAUUUCGGUAAGCGAUGGGGAUGCGUUCCAUUAGAUAGUUGGCGGGGUAACGGCCCACCAAGUCUACGAUGGAUAGGGGUUCUGAGAGGAAGGUCCCCCACAUUGGAACUGAGACACGGUCCAAACUCCUACGGGAGGCAGCAGUGAGGAAUAUUGGUCAAUGGACGAGAGUCUGAACCAGCCAAAGUAGCGUGAAGGAUGACUGCCCUAUGGGUUGUAAACUUCUUUUAUAAGGGAAUAAAGUGAGGGACGUGUCCCUUUUUGUAUGUACCUUAUGAAUAAGGAUCGGCUAACUCCGUGCCAGCCGCCGC
rnacentral:rRNA from 1 species